CCUACGGGCGGCAGCAGUGGGGAAUAUUGGACAAUGGGGGCAACCCUGAUCCAGCCAUGCCGCGUGUGUGAAGAAGGCCCUCGGGUGGUAAAGCACUUUCAGUGAGGAAGAACGCCUGGUGGUUAAUACCCAUCAGGAAAGACAUCACUCACAGAAGAAGCACCGGCUAACUCCGUGCCAGCAGCCGCGGUAAUACGGAGGGUGCGAGCGUUAAUCGGAAUUACUGGGCGUAAAGCGCGCGUAGGUGGCUUGAUAAGCCGGUUGUGAAAGCCCCGGGCUCAACCUGGGAACGGCAUCCGGAACUGUCAAGCUAGAGUGCAGGAGAGGAAGGUAGAAUUCCCGGUGUAGCGGUGAAAUGCGUAGAGAUCGGGAGGAAUACCAGUGGCGAAGGCGGCCUUCUGGACUGACACUGACACUGAGGUGCGAAAGCGUGGGUAGCAAACAGGAUUAGAUACCCCAGUAGUC
rnacentral:rRNA from 1 species